rnacentral:ncRNA from 1 species
AUACCUUUUAGGAAAAUUCCGCGUCAUCCUCUCUUCAGGGAGGGCUAGCAAGACUGGAACUAGCUCGAGAGACACUCGGUAGAACACCCUAAAUGGGAGUAUUUUUGCACGACUGGUCUCGUUAAUGACUGAAAAGUGGGCGGAGAAAUUCCGUCAAUUAGGGUGGCACCACGAGAAGUUCUCGUCCCUUGC